ensembl:snoRNA SNORA63 Small nucleolar RNA SNORA63
ACACAUGUACCGUUACAAUAUAACUGAAGUGUUUUAUUGUUGUUAUCCCUGCUUAUAGCGUUUGGUACAUAACUAUUCUGUCUAAUUCCAUCCCAUAGGAAGACAGAUGUGCUCGCUCUUAAAUAU